AUUGACCGCUAGCGGCAGGCCUAACACAUGAAAGUCGAGCGAGAGGCGGACGGGUGAGUAAUGUAUGGGGACUGCCCGAUCGAGGGGGAUAACUACUGGAAACGGUGGCUAAUAACGCGUACUGUAGGAUAACCAAUAUGGGAUUAGCUAGUAGGUAAGGUAAUGGCUUACCUAGGCGACGAGCCCUAGCUGGUCUGAGAGGAUGAUCAGCCACACUGGGACUGAGACACGGCCCAGACUCCUACGGAGGCAGCAGUGGGGAAUAUUGCACAAUGGGCUCAAGCCUGAUGCAGCCAUGCCGCGUGUAUGAAGAAGGCCCUAGGGUUGUAAAGUACUUUCAGUCGGGAGGCGUUACCGACAGAAGAAGCACCGGCUAACUCCGUGCCAGCAGCCGCGGUAAUUC
rnacentral:rRNA from 1 species